AUUGAACGCUGGCGGCAUGCCUUACACAUGCAAGUCGAACGGCAGCACGGGAGCAAUCCUGGUGGCGAGUGGCGAACGGGUGAGUAAUAUAUCGGAACGUGCCCAGUCGUGGGGGAUAACGCAGCGAAAGCUGUGCUAAUACCGCAUACGAUCUCUGGAUGAAAGCGGGGGACCGUAAGGCCUCGCGCGAUUGGAGCAGCCGAUAGCAGAUUAGCUAGUUGGUGGGGUAAAGGCCCACCAAGGCGACGAUCUGUAGCUGGUCUGAGAGGACGACCAGCCACACUGGAACUGAGACACGGUCCAGACUCCUACGGGAGGCAGCAGUGGGGAAUUUUGGACAAUGGGCGCAAGCCUGAUCCAGCAAUGCCGCGCGCAGGAUGAAGGCCUUCGGGUUGUAAACUGCUUUUGUACGGAACGAAACGGCGAGCUCUAAUAAAGUUUGCUAAUGACGGUACCGUAAGAAUAAGCACCGGCUAACUACGUGCCAGCAGCCGCAGUAA
rnacentral:rRNA from 1 species